GCCGCGGUAAUACGUAGGUGGCAAGCGUUAUCCGGGAUUUAUUGGAUGACGCGUAAAGAGAGUGCAGGCGGUUUUCUAAGUCUGAUGUGAAAGCCUUCGGCUUAACCGGAGAAGUGCAUCGGAAACUGGAUAACUUGAGUGCAGAAGAGGGUAGUGGAACUCCAUGUGUAGCGGUGGAAUGCGUAGAUAUAUGGAAGAACACCAGUGGCGAAGGCGGCUACCUGGUCUGCAACUGACGCUGAGACUCGAAAGCAUGGGUAGCGAACAGGAUUAGAUACCCUGGUAGUCCAUGCCGU
rnacentral:rRNA from 1 species